GAUAGAGAAACGAUAUUUGGUACGCUACACUUCUCGCAAUCUAAUCAUUUGGUAUAUCCUUUUCAUUUGUCAGUGUGUCCAUUACUCUCUAUUGAAAGCUGAUCUAUGGGCUGACAAGUGGACCUUUUGAUCGAACAUACAGUAGUGUUUGGCCAACUAUGUUAAAGUAGUGUUUUUCCAAUAUUACCUUAGGGUAUCAAUUUAGAAAAAUGUUAGAAUUAAAAAGCUAUAACAGGAAUGUACAAAAAAAAAAAUUAAAGACAAGGAGUUUAUAUGAAGCUACAGUUCCUGUCCAUAUUUUGCUUUUCUGGUAUUUGAUAUGAAGCUUCAGUUCCUAUACUAAAUACAGUUCAUGUCUUCUUCUGCUUCUCCGAGACACUAUUUGAAGCAACCCAUAUCAACUUGCAACAUACCUUUUAAUUGGUGCCUUUUGUGAAUUCAAUUUGUCACUGAGCGACUCCAUUUAAUAUUUUGUACCAGGUACUAGGUUCAUAAACACUGGAUGCAUGUUGCUCUCCUGUAGGUUCGUCCAUUGACUAAAUCGUUUGCUCUUCGAUGUUCCAGGUUUGGUGUCUAGAAAAGAAGAUCCAGGUUUGGAAUUGUAAGAGGUCAUAAUUAACCAAUGUAGGCUGGAGAAGGCAUUGCUUCUUUACAUGAAUGUGCUUCCUUUUUAUGUAGUGGAAAAUAAUUCCGUGCCGCUAGCUCAUCCAUGAUAACCAUCUAUUUCAUAUUUAUCUAAUUAUGCAAGAAACCAACUAUUUAUAUCUUCCAAUACAUCAAGCUAGUAGUCUCAGGAACCUGAAAUCAGCUUAAACCAUAGCAGUAUUUUGUUUUCAUCAAAGAGCUUUGUUGUGGCAAAAAUACUAAGUCGUGAGGAACAUUUGGAUGCAAAGCACCCAUGUUCCUGAGAGAAACCCAUGUUGUACAUUUCUGUUCUCUCGUUUUUACUUUGCGAAGUUAUCUCAAGCAUCUGCUUUUAUUUUGGUGCAGGUAGAUUUUACAAAUGGAUGCCCAGGCUUAAAUAGUUACAAAUGACAUAGCAGCAGAAGGACAGAUGUAUUGGAUAGCUUCUGCUAUUGACUUUCCUGUUCAUUUCAGUACUUUGACUUAUCGAAAGCGGCGAACUGAAGGAAGCUUCGUCUGCGAAAAAACAUACUGCUGGAUUUUCAGUGUAGCUGGUGUUCCUAUUCACGCUUAAAAAGUGCUUCAUAAUAGCCUCAUUUUACAAUUCAAGUUGGGCGUUUCCGAGUUGUGCGGAGCUCCUGUUUUGACCUGUCUCUGUAAUGGGUGUUCUGAGUUAUGAUUUUAGGUUUGUUUGUCUGGUGUGUCAGGUAGAGAUACUGGCUCUCUCAUGGAUGCAAAAUAAAAAUAUAACUUUAUUACCUUUAUGAUAUAAAUUGUGAACGAUGACCUCCAAAUGCACAAGCAAACUAGACAAUGCAGAAUUCAAAUGAGAAUACUUGUUGAUGUGUACUUUCUAUUUUUUUUU
rnacentral:lncRNA from 1 species